UGGUGGUUGUUGCAUGCAGGCGGAUUGGAUGAGCCACCAGUGGCUUAUGGUCGACCUCCGCAUGUUCAGUACGUCUACCUCCCUUACUAUCAAGGACAAAUGACGUACACACGUGAGGAUCCUAUCUUGGGGGAUCAACAACAAUACAAAUACAUGUCCGGAGGAGAUGAUAUGAAAUCAUUCGGUGAUGACUCAAGGAUGGAUGUGACUAACGACGAAAAAAGCGAAUAUAGGCAUUCUAUGGCACCUUCUCAUAUAAGUGGAGAUGCUUUAAUAACAUCAACUCAAGUAAAAGAUUAUUAUGCGCCAAACGCUUAUUUACCAGAUAAUGUUGAUAUAAAUCGACAACCGAUUACCGUUGGUAACGAAUGGUCUACGCUAGAAAUUAUGCUGAAGCAACUGGGUCCGUACGAUCGACGAGGUUCCGGUUUGUGCAGAGAAAGCUUUCUGGUGUCAUUUUUGGUAGACGCGAGGGGUGGUGCGAUGAGAGGGUGUAGACACUCUGGGGUUAGAGUGAUCGUUCCACCUAGAUGUGCUGCAAGUCCAACCAGGAUUACCUGCCGAUACGUGCGACCCAAAAAGAUUCAACAUCCUCCACCUUUAAUGGAAGGUGAAGCUUUGGCAAGUCGAGUUUUGGAAUUAGGACCAGUUGGCGCUAAAUUUUUAGGGCCGGUUAUUUUGGAAGUACCCCAUUUCGCUUCUUUGAGAGGAAAACAACGCGAAAUCGUAGUCUUAAGAUCCGAAAAUGGGGAAACUUGGAAGGAACAUACUUUGGAGGCCAAUGAAGAAGCUGUUCAAGAUGUUUUGAAUCAUAGUUUUGAAGGAGAAGAGUUGAAUCAAAUCGAAGAUCUUCACACGAACAGAAUUACGAGAAUUUUAACGAACGAUUUCCCCCAUUAUUUCGCCGUUGUGUCAAGAGUACGACAAGACGUUUACGCAAUCGGACCGGAUGGUGGUACAGUUUCAAGUACAGCGGUUCCUCUGGUUCAAGCAGUUUUUCCACAAAACGCUUUAACCAAAAAAAUAAGGGUUGGAUUACAGGCACAAGCUAUCGAGUCCGAAACAGUUUCAAAACUUCUCGGUCACGGAGUCGCCGUUUCUCCAAUAGUAACGGUCGAACCAAGACGAAGAAAAUUCCACAAAGCGAUUACGUUGAGUUUACCAGCUCCUAAAGCACACACACAAGGGAUGAUAAACCAGUACUCAGGGUUUGCAUCAACUUUAAGACUUCUAUGUUCGAUUACAGGGAACAAAUCAGGCGGUCAAAAUAAAGCUGUUUGGGAAGAUGUAACCGGUUCAACGCCUUUAUCUUUCGUUAAAGAAUGCGUAUCUUUUACAACAACGGUGUCUGCCAGGUUUUGGUUAAUGGAUUGUAGAAAUUUUUCCGAUUCAGCUCGUAUGGCAACUGAAUUAUAUAAUCAGGCAACUCAUGUACCAUUUAUGGCAAAAUUUGUCAUAUUCGCAAAAAGAGUAAGUGGUUAUGAAGCAAGGGUGAGAGUAUUUUGUAUGACUGAUGAUAAAGAAGAUAAAACGUUGGAACAACAAGAACAAUUCACCGAAAUUGCAAAAAGCAAAGAUAUUGAAGUUUUGGAAGAUAAAGAUGUUUUUAUGGAGUUUGGUGGUAAUUUAGUUCCAGUUUUGCAAUCUGGCGAUCAACCAAAAUUGGGAUUUAAAGCUUUUAAAGAGAAUAGGGUUGCUUUUACAAUGAGACUAAGAGAUCCGGAUGAAGACCCAAAUGGAAGAAUAGUUUUCAUGAAUGAUCCGAAAGUAGCAAGAGGUGAACCAACUCAAACCCCAAUUUGUACGCUAAAUCUUUCACUGCCCAAAGAUGUUCUCCCAGAUAGAGACUCCCAAUCGGAUCUUUUAUCUUUGGAUAAAGACCAUAGUUAUUUACACCAUGGUGGAAUUAGUCACCCAGAAACGAUUCAUAGAGCAGAUUUCCGGUUAACUGAUAUUUGUAAUUUAUUAGAAAAAGAUUGGGAAUUAUUAGCUUCUGAAUUAGAUAUUCCACCAUCGGAUAUCGCUUUAAUUAAAGAGCAAUAUCCCGAAAAUAAUUCUCAACAAGCGAUGAUUAUGUUUAGGUUAUGGUUGAGGCAAAAAGCUAAUAAAGCAACAGGAAAUUCUUUAGAAUUAGCUUUACAUAAAAUCGGACGUUCCGAUAUCGUUGAUAAAUGUAUUUGCAACGUUGAAUUGGUCACUGAUGACAUGGAAAAAGCUUUAGCUAAAGUUAGAUUGGAUCAAUCCGGUUUUGAUAGUCUCAAGGACGAACUUGGUUCGUCAAGGGAUGCUUCGCUUAAACGAGAUGUUACUUUAAAAAUAUUUAAUCAAGACGAAAUUGAUAUUAGUGAUAAAAAUGAUAUAUCUGAUAGGGAUUUAACCGAUACAAUUAGCGAAUGUUUAACUUAUAAUCAAAAGAAAGAAAACGAAAUCAUCGAUUCAAAUUUGAACGAGGAUAUUCCUAAAAUUAAAACGGAAAUUUUAGAAGGGGUCGUGGAACAUUUUAAUAAAUUGGAUAUGAGUCCAAUUGCGAAAGAACGAGUUUCUAUGAAUACGCCUCCUCCAAGUCCAGCUGAUCUUAAGAUUGAAAACGCGCAAGUUUUUCAACAACAAGAAACCCAACCAUCAGUUAAUGGAGAACUAAAUCCUCCAACAUCAACAUCUACACCCACCAAACAUUUUAUUCCACAAGAAGAUGAAGUAAUUAAUGAAAUUAACGAGAAAAUCGUGGAAGUUGAAAUAAACGAAGAACCGAAAGCUUUAAUUUUAGAAGAAGAAAAAGUGAUUAUUCACCAGGAAAUCGAUCCGAUUGAAAAGCUUAAGCAAAACGUUAAUGAUACAUUAACAUUUUUACAUUCUGAAAGAAACGAUUUUCUUCCCGAUGAAGAUAUCAUCAUACCAAGUAGAAAAGAUGACCACGUCUCCCAAGAUAUUAAUUUAGAUAUGAUAAAGAAAUUGGAUAAAAAAUCCAAUUUACGUUUAGAUUUAGACGUUGAUAAUAAUGAAAUGAUAGUGAAUAACGUUAGAACGAUCGUUUUAAAUGAAAUUACGGAUGUUAUUAAAGAAUUAGAUGUUGACGAAGAAGAAUUGCGACAAGAAGUUGAGCCUCAAGUUAACGAAGUUAUUCGCGAAGCCGAAGAUGUUGUUAAUGAUUUAAAAACAACGGGGAAAGAUUAUAUUAUGUACAGCACGGAUACUUUAUCAAGCAAUGAAGACUUUGAUUUACCCCAAAAAAGUAACGAUUUAGAAGAGAAAAAUUGGGCUGAGAGAAACGCCAAUUGGAACGAAUCUACGUCAGAGCAAGUUACAGGUUCCUCAAAUAAUUGGACCCACACCCCAGAUGAAAAAAUUAAUUUUUGGACGGAAACUAUAGAACAACUCGAUGAGGAAAUUGAGAGUGUUGGUGAAGAUGUUAAAGAACAGCAACAAAAUGAACUGGAAAAACUUGCAAAUGUAUUGUUAGAGACGAAAAGUGAGUUGGAGGAAAUUAAAAAUCAAUUAAAAGAGCUUCCCGAAAAUGUUCAACCACAAAAAACGAAAGAUUCAUCUCAAAAUCUUUAUGAAAACAUACCUUUUAAUAUAAAAGAAGAAACAAAGAAUUUCGUUGAAAAAGAAAUGAAUUACGCCGAAGUAACCAAAAAAAAUUUAAGACCAACCGUAGAAAUACCAAAAAAAAUUGAAGAAACAUCCUUAAACGAUUCUUUAACGAAAGCCCAAGAAGAAGCAUUUAAAUUCUUAGAAACAGAAAUUUCGAGUCCUUUAACACCAUCCCCGAGAGACCCCCCAAAAUCAGUUUCAUUCACGCCCGAUUCCCCAUCAAAAUCAACCACCGUAACCACAAUCAUAACAGGUACCCCAAAAAGUAGCAUACCAAUCGCAAAACCUCGCCAAAGUAAAGAAUUCGUCGAAGAACGAGUAUCUUCACCAACCGAAAGCGAAAUAUUAAGUAAAAUUCCCGUUUGCGCCUCAAAUUCUAAAGGAAAAGUAAAAACGAUUAAAAAACAUUCUAAGGAUCCCCUAAAAGAAUUUGUUAAGUUAACUCAAGAUGUUAAUUGGGACGAAGAGAACGUUGUUAUUAAAAGUGCCGAUCCGAUUGUAAAAACAACCGUUACAAGGAUAAUUACGGAACAUUCGCCGAAUCAAGUUGAGAAAAUUAGUCAAUUUGAGAAAGAUAAAAGUAAAAUUCCUGUUUAUCAUACGGUGACUGAAACGAUUACGAGAGAAUGUAGUUCGGAAAAUAAUUCGACGGUUAAGGGUAAUAGUAAAAUUCCGGUGCUUGUUUCUGAAACUACGAAAAUUUUGAGUCCCGAAGAGAAAAUGUCGUUGAUUUCGUCUCAAAAGUUUCCGUCGGUGGAGUCUAGUUUAGUUUCUCCCGGUUCGGAUAAGACGAAAACUUCUAAAGGGAGUACAAUCGACUCGGAUUCGGAUACUGAUAGUAGACGCAGUCCGCCUCUUAAAGGUAUACUGAAGAAAAGUAGCAUUAGAACGGUCGGUAGUUCUAGUGGAUCAGAUAUAGCGCUUCAUGAAGGUGGGGCCGAGCUUAGUGACGAUGAUUCAGAAUGUUAUUGCCCAGCAUCAAAGAUCACCUUAGACACCUGGCAUGUUGUUUCCUGCCUGUUAUGGUCAAUUGUCGCGUUGGCCACUAGCAUGAUCGUAUUGGCACUCCUAGCGCACAAAUAACGAAGAUUUCUACCAACACGAUCCGCAGUUUUAUGAAACAACCACAGAGGAAAUCGAUCCGAUAACAGGAGCAAGGACCACAAUUCGGACU
rnacentral:misc_RNA from 1 species